AUCGCUUAUGUGCCUUUUGGCUAAGAUCAAGUGUAGUAUCUGUUCUUAUUAAAUUUGAAUGAAUGCUACAUUUUCCCGAGAUGACAUGACAUGGAAUUGAAAGGGGUAUACAUGGAAAGCGAUCAAAUCUAAUAGCUAUUAGCUUUUAGAGAGAUUUUAAGAGCUUUU
rnacentral:snRNA from 1 species